CUUUUUUUUCCUAAAAGGAAUCAGUGUUCCUUAAAGAGAGGGCUGAUUCCAGAUCUGUGCAGAAUAUUUACAAGAUGAGUUUUAAACAUCUUUUUAUGCCAGAAAGGAAGUAAGCUGUCACUCAUUACAGAAGCCAGGUUAAAAAAAACCCAGGAGUCCACUUAGGGUUCCCACUGGCCAAAGAAACAAUUUGCACAUGAAAAUAACAAAUACUAUAGAAAUAUGUUUUAGAUGAUAUCUUCAAUGACUUGAUGUAUAUCAAAAAUUUUAACAUCCAUAGGUUCAUAAAAAUAUUUAAAAACCUGAAGGAUACUAGGGAACUCAUUUCUCUUAAAACUAGGAAAUAAGAGAGAAAAUUGCACAUUCAUCCAAUUUUCCUGUAUAAAUUGUACUUAAUGAGGUAAAGUUCUUUACUAUAAAGAAUAAUUUCUGUUAAUAAACGUAGCACGAUCAAAUUAGAACAUGAUCAUUUUGCAACUUCUAAAGAAAUAAUGGACCUAUGCAAUAAUCAUUAAUGGCUGCUAAAACUAUUAGCUUGAAAUGUUAAUGAGAAAAUUCAUUUUAUCAUAAACUUUAUCAGGUUAAUAUUUACACUGAAUGAGCAAUUGUAACAUGACAUAGAGAACCAUACAGUGUAAGCCCCUUAAUGUAAAAUAAUAGGAAGCAAAUAAUACCUAUGAACUCUUUCUGCCCACUGAAAAAAAAUUUUGUUUUACUCUAAAUAACCUGGAGACUUAACUUCCAGUUUGUAAAAAAUACAUGCUAAAAGACAUUGUAGGGAAACAAUUUACAAAAUUCAGAAUAUGGGAAACUCUACAGGGCAGAUAAUCGUAAUUCUUAAAUAAAUCACAAGAAAAAAUUGUAGGGGAACCUAUAGAUCAAAGACCAUCAAAUGCAAUGGGGAGACUUUGUUUAGGUCCUAUUUUAAGCAAAUCAAUUAUAAAAUAUAUCAAACAAUAUUUGAGACAAUCAUAUUUGAUAUUGAAUGAGUCUUCUAUAUUACAGAAUUAUUAUUAAAAUUUUAGUUGUGCUACUGAUAUCAUGGUUAUGUUCUUCUUAAGAGCCACUUUACAUUUCAGAUAUAUGUUCAUAAUUCCAAAAAGCUAAACCUUAAAUAUUUAUCAAUAAAACAAUAUGGUGCCUGGUAUUUAUGUCACAAGAAUCCAAAGGACGGGGAUAACUACACACUUUUAAUUGUUUAUUCUAGAUGAUUAAUAAGGAAGCACUCCUUAUAUUAAUCUAAUACGUGUUUGAAUAUAAAGAUUGGGUAUUUCAAGUGAGUCUAGAAAAGCAGUAAUGAUGGGGUGCCCGGAUGACUCCAAGAGCAUGCAACUCUUGACCUUGGGGUAGCGAGUUCAAGACCCACACUGGGUGUAGAGAUCACUAAAAAAUAAACUUAAAUAAAAAAUAAAAGCAAAAAAACAGUAAUGAAAUGCUGACCAGCAUACAUAACUUCACCAUGAGAAGAAAACGCUUCCGAGGUCUCCAAUUCAGUCAGGAAGCAAGGGUCCACCUUCGCAGGUUCAACUCGCUGAUGGCCAAGGUGACAGUUUAGGAAAUAAAAACAGCCCUGGCCUAGCCGACUACCAACACCUAGCUUUGCCAUCUUGGAAUCACCUAACUUCUUUAGGGUGUUGGAACUUGAGGGUACAGGAAGUGAAAUAAUAAGCAAAAAGCACACACACACAAAAAUAAGCAAAAAGCACGGGGCAGCCUGGGGGGCUCAGCGGUUGUGCACCUGCCUUCAGCCCAGGGCGUGACCCCCGGGACCCGGGAUAGAGACCCGCAUGGGCUCCCUGCAGGCAGCCUGCGUCUCCCUCUGCCUGUGUCUCUGCCUCUCUGUGUGUGUCUCUAUGAAGAAAUAAGUAAAAUAUUUUAAAAAAUUAAGCAACAGCACGAACAGUAAUGGUGUUGUGGGCACUAAAUGCUGACCUUCCCAAGAGAUCUGGACGCAUGACUGUAGCCCCAGGAGCUGUUGUGGGCACUUGCCAUCCACUUUUUAAAGAACGAUUAAACCAAGGAGGCCCAUACAAGGUACCAUUUUGCACACGACGAGUUUAGGUUCAGAGGCGCAGCCAACCCUGCGGGAAAGAGCGCGGGGCAGCAGACCACACCUGGGGGGAGGUGAGGGCCCUGAGUGUGAAACGCUGAGCAACUUACAACCGCUUCCACACACCUACAGUUCCCCGUCGUCUGCACCACCACGCCUCCCGCGCCUCGGCACGACCGACCGCCGAGAUGCUGGAGCUCAGCGCCCGCACCUGCUUCCCCGGCCCCUCGCGCGUGCU
rnacentral:lncRNA from 1 species